rnacentral:rRNA from 1 species
UACGGGAGGCAGCAGUGGGGAAUAUUGCACAAUGGGCGCAAGCCUGAUGCAGCCAUGCCGCGUGUAUGAAGAAGGCCUUCGGGUUGUAAAGUACUUUCAGUCGUGAGGAAGGUGUUAAGGUUAAUAACCUUAGCAAUUGACGUUAGCGACAGAAGAAGCACCGGCUAACUCCGUGCCAGCAGCCGCGGUAAUACGGAGGGUGCGAGCGUUAAUCGGAAUUACUGGGCGUAAAGGGCACGCAGGCGGUUAAUUAAGUUGGAUGUGAAAUCCCCGGGCUUAACCUGGGAAUGGCAUUCAAGCUGGUUAGCUAGAGUCUUGUAGAGGGGGUAGAAUUCCAUGUGUAGCGGUGAAAUGCGUAGAGAUGUGGAGGAAUACCGGUGGCGAAGGCGGCCCCUGGACAAAGACUGACGCUCAUGUGCGAAAGCGUGGGGAGCAAACGAGGGAUUAGAUACCCGG